rnacentral:tRNA from 2 species
GGGUCUUCUAUUGGAUAAUGGUUAGUUUGAACCUAACUUUAGGGUGUUCGACUCACUCAAGGCCUU